rnacentral:tRNA from 1 species
AAUCUCAUAGCUCAAUUGGUCAGAGCACCGGUCUUUUAAACCGGGGGUUGAAGGUUCAAUUCCUUCUGAGAUUACAA